AUUGAACGCUGGCGGCAGGCCUAACACAUGCAAGUCGAGCGGUAACAGAAAGAAAGCUUGCUUUCUUUGCUGACGAGCGGCGGACGGGUGAGUAAUGCCUGGGAAUAUACCCUGAUGUGGGGGAUAACUAUUGGAAACGAUAGCUAAUACCGCAUAAUCUCUUCGGAGCAAAGAGGGGGACCUUCGGGCCUCUCGCGUCAGGAUUAGCCCAGGUGGGAUUAGCUAGUUGGUGGGGUAAUGGCUCACCAAGGCGACGAUCCCUAGCUGGUCUGAGAGGAUGAUCAGCCACACUGGAACUGAGACACGGUCCAGACUCCUACGGGAGGCAGCAGUGGGGAAUAUUGCACAAUGGGGGAAACCCUGAUGCAGCCAUGCCGCGUGUAUGAAGAAGGCCUUCGGGUUGUAAAGUACUUUCAGUUGUGAGGAAGGCGUUGGAGUUAAUAGCUUCAGCGCUUGACGGUAGCAACAGAAGAAGCACCGGCUAACUCCGUG
rnacentral:rRNA from 1 species